rnacentral:rRNA from 1 species
AGUGAACGCUGGCGGCAGGCCUAAUACAUGCAAGUCGAACGGCAGCACAGCAGAGCUUGCUCUGUGGGUGGCGAGUGGCGGACGGGUGAGGAAUACAUGGGAAUCUGCCCAGUCGUGGGGGAUAACGUAGGGAAACUUACGCUAAUACCGCAGGCGCCCCUCGGGGGAAAGCCGGGGACCUUCGGGCCUGGCGCGAUUGGAUGAGCCCAUGUCGGAUUAGCUAGCUGGUGGGGUAAAGGCCCACCAAGGCGACGAUCCGUAGCUGGUCUGAGAGGAUGAUCAGCCACACUGGAACUGAGACACGGUCCAGACUCCUACGGGAGGCAGCAGUAGGGAAUAUUGGACGAUGGGCGCAAGCCUGAUCCAGCCAUGCCGCGUGAGUGAAGAAGGCAUUCGGGUUGUAAAGCUCUUUUGUCCGGAAAGAAAAGCAUCCAGUUAAUACCUGGGUGUCCUGACGGUACCGGAAGAAUAAGCACCGGCUAACUUCGUGCCAGCCGCCGCCGUAAGAC